UGGUGUGAAAUAUUGCCUUUUUUCACCCGAACCCGGAUGUUCCUGCUUGUUAUGGAUGUAAGACCCAGGACGUGGACUGACUCGUCUUCUUUUGAAAAUACUCAAACGGAACGGUAGAACACGUCUGUGAACGCAUCACAGGGCGGUAACAAAUCGUAAUAGCCGUAUUGGCGCGUCAGAAUGGUGACGUCAUUUAACGAGGUGGCGAAAGUACAGCUUUUUUGUUUUUACAUAUUUUACUGGUUUCAACCUCGUUUGUGGACGAAAUAACCUCUACGGAAGACAGGUUGGAGUCACUUCCAUAGAAGGGCUGGUGGAAAAAGUAACACAGCCCUUGCAGUGAGCACCUCUUCUGCAGCGUACGCCUUUUAACUGAACUGCUUCAGUCAUCAGCAACUGCAAACUGCUGGCAGGUUGGGAUGGGGCUUCACCCCGUAAUCAUCGCUUUGGUGGUCUCUGUCGCGGUGAUAGCGUUGGCAGCUUCUGUCGUGAUUGUGCGGAUGUACUGCUUCCAGGUCAAGAAGAGCAACUAUAGGUACUCUCUGCUGAGACAUCUGGAGGAGGGCACUCCAAUGUUGAUGGAGGAGGUUGGCAGCAACGAGGGGACGUGCAUGGAUUCAGACGAGGGUCUGCUGGAAUAAACGGACACGGCGGCCACGCGGCAGCACAACGACUGACGGAAGAAUUGCUUGGGUUUAAAAAGAAAAAACACUGACAGGUUAUUCGAGUCUCUGAAAAGUACUUUGGUAUUGUCCUCUGUGGAUGCCAAAGAGCUUGUCCAAGUCUGACAAAAUAACCCACUGGGUGUGUGUGUGUGUGUGUGUGUGUGUGUGUGUGUUACGAGUUGUUUACAACACAGCUACCUUGAAACAUACACACAGCAUGCUGCUGCUUGACUGGAUUCCAUUAAUGGACUAAAAAGUACAUUGGAAGUGGCAAACGGAGAAAAGAAAAGAAAUAUAAAUUCACUUUCAAGGCUGUAAAGGUCACUAAUUGAUGGUUAUACAUUUUCAUUUUUCAGUGCCAAGUCGCGGCGCUUUUGUGAUUUUAAAACAUUAUCCGGCUGUUAUGAAAUAAGUGCCGUCACGUGGCCAUGUGACAUUUGGGAUGUCUCAAACGCGGUAAUUGACUUCUAAAAAUAGGCCCGCCGAGACCGCCACUAUCUGCUGGAAGGCCAGCUCCCCUUUCAGACGUUAUUAUUUAGCCUUUUUUUUCAUGCUAACAAGUCGAAGUGAACUUGAUGUGGCGUUCCCAGCGCACUUUGAUGGAGUGCAGCGCGUCGCAUGACGACAAAGGAAGAAAAUGACACUAGGAUGGGAGUCAGAAGCGUAUUGAAGUUUAAAAAACGAAUCUCACUGCAUGAUGAUGCAAACAUGCAAUAGCAGUUUGAUGAUGGUGGUAAUUACUUGAACGGAUGACUUGAAUUAUGUGGCUUUAUUCUGGCCUGUAAGAACCUAAAUAUUUUUCUUCCAAACUGUAGAGUUAACAUCGUCUGCUUGAACAUACAGCAUUUGCACACACAGAAGCAUCACUGCCUAAUUGAAUGUUAUGCUAGCAGUAUGUAAAAAAACCCACAAUACAGUAGUGAUUUUUUUACUGCGUGAACAGCAGUGCACAAAGGCCCUCUGCUGGUCGUGCUUGGUAUUACAUCAUCUGACCUUGUUUCUGGACUACUUCAUUACAAAUAUAUAUUUAUAUACUCUAUCUCCCCGCCUCACAAAACCACUGGAUUUCUUGCUUUACUUUUUCACUUUUAAUCAUUUUGGCUGGAAAAAACAAACAAACAGUAAAUAGUAGGACAGAUUAAACUGAUUUGGAUUCCGUUCCAUUUUGGUUUACAUUGACAUGCAACGUGUCAUUUGUAUGUUUGCCGUCAUUGCAUCUGGGCGUGUAUUCUACUGUAGAUAACAGUUCACUUAUGUUGCUAUGCAGGUUUGGAUGUAUGUUUUUAUUAUAGUCUCAUGAGAAGUGAAAAAGUCAGCUGGGAUAGGCUCCAAAGUCAGCUGGGAUAGUACGUUAUUACCGUACAGUAGCUUUUUAUACAAAAUCCAGGAGUAGGGGAGUUGCCAGGUGGAUUGACAGUUACGCCAUGUUGUUAUUUCCUCAUCCUAUGUUAUUCUAAAGGCUCUAUGACUUUUCUUUGGCCUUCAGUCUCCUAACAAGGUCAAGGUCAUUGUUUGCAUCACGUUGCCGUUUGACUGUUGAACGGAUGCUGUCUAUUUGACAAUGUGACUGAGAGAAACUUGAUCAUCCGGUUGAGCGUGUGUGGGCGUGUGCAUGCAUGCACAAUAUCACAUCCUGCAUCCACGCGGCACAAGGGCGAGGGCGCUGCCCUUCCCAUACGUGUGCAUUCAAGGAUGACACGGACGAGCCGCUGUGACGACAAGUGAAAGCUGCCAAAGGAUCUGACUUACUGGCUGCAGCCAUGAGGCACCGGGUUGCUCCCUAUGCUGCGGUCGUUGUUGUCCUUGUGCUGACGUGGGCCACGUCCGAGCACUCCGUGCACAUACAGCAGAGAGCAAGACAACUUCUCGGGAUGGAGAGUGCGGAUCAAACAGGAGUAAAAGUGCAACCAAAAGCAUCUUCACCUCCGCCGAAGUGCGGCCUCUCCAGAGCGUGCCCGCCUCAUCACUUUGCAGUGCACGUGCGCAGCGGAGCCGCUGACGUGGUCGGCCCAAAGAUCUGUUUUGAUGGUAAAAUCAUCAUGAGCCACAUACUCAACAACGUGGGACCCGGCCUCAACGUCGUCGUCAUCAACGGUGACACUGCAGCUGUGGAGAAAAGUGGCUAUCUGAACAUGAAAGCUGGAAUCCCAGAGGACAUCUUGGCGUACCUGAAAGAGAUUAAAUCUGGACACAUUGUCAUCGUGGCCUCGUACGGCGACGUGACAACAAAGAUGACAGAAGAAAUGAGGGAGAUAUUCACGGACAUGGGCAGCGCUUUGAUCAAGUCAGUAAGUUACCGUGACAACUGGGUGUUCGCAGGAAGAGGCGGGACAGGAAACGGCAGCAGCGCCUUUGAGAAGCGAGCUGCGAACGAUGACAAAAGCAACGCUUAUGAGGGAUGGCCCGUGGCCGUGGAGGUGGGCGGAUGUUUCCCCGGGAGAUCUUAACUGACCCGCUGCAGUAUUUUACAAAAUGGUCUCCACCGUGACUGAGUAGGCAUGGUACCGGUGUGGGAUUCUGACGCUAUGAUAACCCCGCCUCUCACCCUAAGCCACCUGGGAUAGGCUCCAGCAUACCCCCCCGACCCUGCAUGCAGAGACACUUGGCAGGUCAGAACCGCUCGGCGCCGACCCAGUCUGAGCCCGAGUACAGAGAUAAUAAGGUUUGCAUGGAUCUGAGCCAUUCCGAGCCAGACUGGGUGGAUGGGCUCUGGAUGAUCCGGAGGGACUCCUGAUGUCGUCGUUUAGAAAUGAAUCAUUCUGAUGAUACAAAAAGACAGUGAGGUUGUGCUCAGAUGCGACUGGCUGGCCUGCAGCAGUAGGUGCAGCUCCUCAGGCUGUCCCGGUCCGUGCUGCCGUCAGCGCUUCCACGCCGCCCGUCGCUGUAGUGGGACACUGUGGACACGACACACUUGCCAGGUUAGUGCUCUCCACUUUCACUUGUCAGCGCGAUGCUGACGUUGGGAUGAAACGCACGUGAUUGCUGACUCAUGCUCACGUUUAGUGAUGUCACAUGAAAACAUUUCUUUGUUUUUUUUUUUUGUUUUACUUUUAAAAUCUACCUUUUUAAUAUUGAGAAUUAUGUAACUGUUCCAAAAACAUGAUCUGUGUUCUUUGACCUUAUUUUAUGUACAAUAUUAUGUUAAUGCUGUAGCAAAACAUGACAUGUAUUUUAGUAAGUUCACCAAAAAGAACAAAAGGGACACCCACCCACGCACUGGUACGUAUUCUUCCGCCACGCGCACGUAACUACUUCCCCUUUUUGCACAGUACAAACGGUUUAUGGGAGUAUCAGUAUCAGUCAUGUGCAUGUGAGAUUCUUGCAAGAAAAAACAAAACAGCAAACUCACAGCGCUCUUCCUCACCAUUCCCCAACUCCUCAUCCUCCUCCUCUUCAGGCAGCAGAAGUCCAUGGCAGGGGCUGGUGGGAGUGAUCUGACUGGGUCCCUCCACGCUGGUCCCCAGCUGCAACCUGCGCAUGUGGCGCACCACCGCCGUGGCAUUGAAUGCUUGCUGCCAUGGACAAACAAAGACACUUGCUGGGUGUACAAUUGGAGCACCAUUUUUCAUCUAUUUCUUCUUCUUCUUCUUAUUCCCCCUCAUUCCUCCUCCUUCAUUUCAAACCACUCCAACAUCAAAAUGUUCAGCUCUUUGAAAACAUUCCCACGUUUAGUGUAAAUUCAUAUUUUCAAUGAAAGUUUGCCCAUUGAAAAUAAAUGGGCAAUUUAUUUGGCAGCCGCUCCCACUACGCCCGUUCCACUGACUCUACAGCGGUGACGUGGCUCUGGUGGCAGAGUGCUUGGCUCCCAGUGAAAUGAAAUGAAAUGUCUGCUGGCAUUGCAUCACCUUGUUAAUUAUUAGAAUUCAUUUCACCGACCUUCCAUUUGCUUUUGGCAAAGUUCUUCUUGAUUUGAGCGCUGACGGAUUCGUGGAUGUUCUUGUCCAGAGCCGUGUCUCCACAGAUCCUGAGAGAGUGAAACACAUUGGGUGAUUCUGCAGUACACUGCAUGGACACGAGUAUUGGGCUACAACCUCGUCGUUCUUCCAAAACCUUAAUUCUUUGUCUUAGCAAGACUUGUAACUGUCGGUAUGAUGUGUGUCCCAAUACUUGUUUCCGUGCAGUGUGCAUCACCUCUUGGUGCUGCAAAAGAAAGCAUUCCUACCAUGGAUGCUGCAGGGCCUGCUCACAUGUAUAUCUUUUCAGAGGAUCCUUCUCCAUCAUGUGGCAGAUGAAGUCUUUGGCUAACAAAUGAAAGUUGCAUUCAUGAUAACAAAUACUGCAUUUUGUUUUGUCUGCUUAUUUAUUUUAGGCAUACCUGAGUCAGAGAUGUCGUCCCAGUAGGGAGAGUCGAAUUCAUACUCUGCCUUCAGGAUCUGCUCAAACAACUUGGCGUCGUUCUCGUCAUAAAACGGAGGAUAGCCACACAAUCUGACGGGGAAUGAGAAUGUCAAAAAAAAUACCCAGGUACAGCCUGUAAAUGACGGCUUGUGCUCAAAAUGCUUUGGAAGACACGUAAUACAGAUAUCAUCAAUGAAAUUGCCAGUGACCUACGGGCAAUUUGUUGCAAAGACGUUUUGCAUGAUAGUAGCCAUGUUUUUCAACCAAUCUUGCUCAAAUUUUACACGUGUGUGCUUGUCAAUCACCAAAAGGUGUGCGCCAAAUUGCUGAUUUGGCAAAUUGCAGUGGAUUGUUUUGUAGUGCACAUUUGGCUUUGUGAAACAUCAAACUUUGGGGUUUAAUAACAGCGCCACCAUGUGGUGUAUUUGUCAGAAAAACAAUAGCACAGGCAACACAGCAGGGAUGCAUGUUCUGACAAAUUUUCACCCUUUUGUGUUGAGUGGUUCAGGAGUAGAAGAGUUACACAAACAAAUACAUUUUCAUAUUAACUGCAUCUGAUGGUGUUUGAAGCAGCUUUUGUAUUGGAUUUCCUUAGACUGCACAGGUGUACAUCAUGUCCAAUGCACAAUACAAAUAUUAAACUCACAGAAUAUACGAAAUGACUCCUAUGGACCAGCAAUCCACGGCUUUGCUGUACGGUUUCUGGGCGAGGACCUCCGGAGCUGUGGAGUACACACAAACUAGUCAUCUUGACCGGUGCUGAUC